ACUCUCUGUUCCCUUUCUCCUACAUGCACAGCAACUUGCUAGGAGACUCAGCACGCUCCUGAGCUGCCAAAACUCACAAGGUUUUUGAGCUACACAGAGCUCUUCUUCAGGGAGUUUGCAAAGGUGCAGAAGGAAAAGAAUGUCUAAGUGAGCUUCUCAGAGAUCUUUCCUGUCCCACAAGUGAAGGAAGAUGGAAGAUUCUGGAAGUGAACUGCUGGCUAGGUUGUGUUUUGGUUUCACAGGACAUUGUGGUUACAGUUGGAGACUUCCAUAGGUAUCCUAAGGACUAUGAGAACUUUUGCAGUUUGUUGGCACAGUCUGCUCAUCAGUGAAAUACUACAUCAUACCAAGAGUGGAAGACACAGGAUGCUGGAAGACCCACUGAGAAAGAGGAAGAUGGAAGGUUAAGUGCGGACGGCUUUAUAUUACAGUCACAGGGACCAUGGGGCUCAAAUCCUAGUCCACAAGCUCUUAAGAGGUAGUCAGUCCCAGCCUACCACCUGCUGCUGGAAUAGCUGCUGAACUCUCGCAGAGGACUCCAGUCCUGGAAUCUGCUUGGUGGAACCCUGGGGGUCCUCAUUGGUCCCCAGCCUCUAUUUAACCCAAGCACAGGAAGAGGAAGUUGCCGAUGAUAAUGGGAUCUUCCUGCAUGGCACUGCUUCCUCUAUUAUGCCUGCUCCUAUUGACGAUUUCCUGGUCGGGUUGCCAACCCUCUAGGCUUGUCCUGGAGUCUCCAGGAAUAAAAGAUUAAUCUUUAAUUAAAGAGCAGGCCAUGUGAUGAAGUCUCCAGGAAUUUGUCCAACCAAAGCUGGCAACCAUAACUCCUGGUAACCUGAUCCUACUUGCCUCCUGACAUCUGACUUUCAGUUUUCCCUCUGGUCUGUCUUGGAAUCUGACCUUCUGGUAUCAGACCUGGCCUGACUCCUGUUCUGACCAUGAGGUCAGACUGCCCAUAUCUUAUCUGUGAUACCCAUUCAUGUUGGAUUUGAAAGGUUUCCAGUUGGAGUUUCUCUCUCUAGCUACAUCUAUUCUGAGCCCACUUUUAAGCUAGAUGAUCUGUUUCCUCCUGAUGCUGUAGACCAGGGAUUGGCAACCUUUGGCACGUGGCCCACCAGGGAAAUCC